rnacentral:rRNA from 1 species
GCAGGCUGCAACCCGCCUGCAUGAAGUUGGAAUCGCUAGUAAUCGCGGACCAGCAUGCCGCGGUGAAUACGUUCCCGGGCCUUGUACACACCGCCCGUCACACCAUGAGAGUCGGGAACACCCGAAGUCCGUAGCCUGACCGCAAGGGGGGCGCGGCCGAAGGUGGGUUCGAUAAUUGGGGUGAAGUCGUAACAAGGUACC